rnacentral:misc_RNA from 1 species
AACUUUUAACAACGGAUCACUUGGCUCUCGCAUCGAUGAAGAACGCAGCGAAAUGCGAUAAGUAAUGUGAAUUGCAGAACUCAGUGAAUCAUCGAAUCUUUGAACGCACCUUGCGCUCCCUGGUAUUCCGGGGAGCACGCCUGUUCGAGCGCCGUGAAAUUACUCAAGCUUGGAUGGAUUUUGUCUGUCGGUCGUUUGGUUGUGGGGCUUUGCCGUGUCCUUCAUUGGGACGGCUGUCCUUAAAAGCAUGAGAUGAUCCUCGUGACGCACUGGUUCUACUCAGCGUGAUAGCAGUCGGAUCGUUGAAGACAUCUUUUGGGAUGGCCGGUCUUCAUUUGGGUUGCUUCUACUCCUGGUUUUUGCAGAUUGUUUCAAUCUGCAUUCCACUUAUCAGCUUUGACCUCGAAUCAGGUGGGACUACCCGCUGAACUUAAGCAUAUCAAUAAGCGGAGGCU